rnacentral:rRNA from 1 species
AUUGAACGCUGGCGGCAGGCCUAACACAUGCAAGUCGAGCGGAUGAAGGGAGCUUGCUCCUGGAUUCAGCGGCGGACGGGUGAGUAAUGCCUAGGAAUCUGCCUGGUAGUGGGGGAUAACGUCCGGAAACGGGCGCUAAUACCGCAUACGUCCUGAGGGAGAAAGUGGGGGAUCUUCGGACCUCACGCUAUCAGAUGAGCCUAGGUCGGAUUAGCUAGUUGGUGGGGUAAAGGCCUACCAAGGCGACGAUCCGUAACUGGUCUGAGAGGAUGAUCAGUCACACUGGAACUGAGACACGGUCCAGACUCCUACGGGAGGCAGCAGUGGGGAAUAUUGGACAAUGGGCGAAAGCCUGAUCCAGCCAUGCCGCGUGUGUGAAGAAGGUCUUCGGAUUGUAAAGCACUUUAAGUUGGGAGGAAGGGCAGUAAGUUAAGACCUUGCUGUUUGGACGUGACCAACAGAAUAAGCACCGGCUAACUGCGG